CCUACGGGUGGCAGCAGUCGAGAAUCAUUCACAAUGGGGGAAACCCUGAUGGUGCGACGCCGCGUGGGGGAAUGAAGGUCUUCGGAUUGUAAACCCCUGUCAUGUGGGAGCAAAUUAAAAAGAUAGUACCACAAGAGGAAGAGACGGCUAACUCUGUGCCAGCAGCCGCGGUAAUACAGAGGUCUCAAGCGUUGUUCGGAAUCACUGGGCGUAAGGCGUGCGUAGGCUGUUUCGUAAGUCGUGUGUGAACGGCGCGGGCUCACCCCGCGGACGGCACAUGAUACUGCGAGACUAGAGUAAUGGAGGGGGAACCGGAAUUCUCGGUGUAGCAGUGAAAUGCGUAGAUAUCGAGAGGAACACUCGUGGCGAAGGCGGGUUCCUGGACAUUAACUGACGCUGAGGCACGAAGGCCAGGGGAGCGAAAGGGAUUAGAUACCCUAGUAGUC
rnacentral:rRNA from 1 species